CGGGGUGCACCAGGCGCGAAAACUUUACAAUGCGGGAAACCGUGAUAAGGGGACACCGAGUGCCAGCAUCCUAUGCUGGCUGUCCGGGUGUGUAAAAUACACCUGUUAGCAAGGGCCGGGCAAGACCGGUGCCAGCCGCCGCGGUAACACCGGCGGCCCGAGUGGUGAUCGUGAUUAUUGGGUCUAAAGGGUCCGUAGCCGGUUUGGUCAGUCCUCCGGGAAAUCUGACAGCUUAACUGUUAGGCUCUCGGAGGAUACUGCCAGACUUGGAACCGGGAGAGGUAAGAGGUACUACAGGGGUAGGAGUGAAAUCUUGUAAUCCCUGUGGGACCACCUGUGGCGAAGGCGUCUUACCAGAACGGGUUCGACGGUGAGGGACGAAAGCUGGGGGCACGAACCGGAUUAGAUACCCGGGUAGUCCCAGCCGUAAACGAUGCUCGCUAGGUGUCAGGCAUGGCGCGACCGUGUCUGGUGCCGCAGGGAAGCCGUGAAGCGAGCCACCUGGGAAGUACGGCCGCAAGGCUGGAACUUAAAGGAAUUGGCGGGGGAGCACAAGG
rnacentral:rRNA from 1 species